rnacentral:lncRNA from 12 species
UCUUCUUUCCACUUUUCUUUCAGAGCACAAUAAAUUAUAUUCAAAUGGCAGUCAUGGAGGAAACUUUCCUUUCCUUCCUCAUCCACAAAGCUGAUCGAUGGGCGCUAAAGCCCCGGGGAAGCAGCAUCUGUUGUAACUCAAGGAUCCCCACUCGAGCUGAGGAUGAAAUGAACAGACGCGGAGCAGUUUGCAGCUCAACAUUUGUUCAAGUCUGGCACAUGCACACAUCAUUAGCAACUCUACUGGAGGAGCAAGAUCAAGGAGACCGAGAACUUAUCUUUGUGACUCCUGCGACUCUUGAAAGAUGGACACACAGACAGCCUCCUGCACCAGCAAAGAUGGAAACUCCACGCAUACAUGGAUCAUCAGAGCCUGGGUCACAUAUUUGCCUCGUGGUUGCUCAGGAGGCUGGCAUUUGGGGUUCCACAUUCAUGUCCAUGACAACAGGGGAAAUUGUUGUUGACAAGCACCUUGACAAGGUUGAACUCAUAACGUGGGAAUUUCCACCGUUAGGGAGAGUCUCUCAAAGUGAUGACAGCAGCCAGGGGUCUGACAAAGGUGCCCCCAGUUCAUAAAUUGUAAUCAGAACUUUUGAAAAUACAUGGAAUGGAAACCCAGUUCAAACUCGGUUAAGAAAAAGAGGAAAUGAUUAACUUCCACAACUACAAAGUCAAGGUUCGUGCUGGCUUCUGUUGUGGUUGGAUGAAGGGACUCAAAUGAUGUCAUCAGGUAUUAGUCUCUCUUUCUUGUCAGAUUCUUUUAUGUGAAGUUCACGAUGGUCCUUAAGAUGCCUACGUACCACCUUAGAAUCGUGAGCAGACAUAGAGCAUUUCUCUCAGCAUGAAGGGCUUUGGCUCAAUUUGGGUCACACGCCCAUCCGUGAACCCGUCAUGUGCCAGGGACUGAGGUCACAUGCCCACUCCUAUGGGCCGAGGCUGUGAUGGUGUCACCUUCACUCCCGAACAUAUAUCAUAGGUUCCCCAUGGAUACAAGGAGGUUCCUGGCACUACCACUUACUACUUGUAUCAUCUUGGGAAGUCACUUGAUUCUUUGAGCCUCAGUUUUCUCAUCUGUAAAAUGAGAAUAAUAACAAUGUCUACUUCACACGGUUGUUAUAAGGGUUACACGAAUUCCUAUUUGUGAAGCACAGGAAAAAUGUUUGUCCUGUAAUUAGUUGUAUGUAAGUGUUUGCUAUUAUAAUUCUCUUCUGUUUGAGGAAGAGAGAGACAAUGAUAGGCAGGUGAAACUCAAACAUUUCUAUUGCAUCCUAGAUUAGGUAGUUGAAAACGUGAGUCUGGAAUUUAUAAAGAAAGGUCUUGGCUAAAGUUUGCUGAAUGCAGGAGUUUUCUCAAUUUCAGUGCUAAAAAAAAAAAAAAAAAGAGUGGAGCAUAUGACCUCCCAAGGGAGAAAGUGUGGAGAGGGAGGAAAAUAAAUAGGGAUCGGACAUAGCUCCA